rnacentral:lncRNA from 1 species
GCUACUUCGUCCACCUCUUCGGCUUCCGCUACUGCUGCCUCGUCGUGGUCGUCCUGCACGUCAUUGUUUUCACAGUGACGGCAAGCUUCAUGUUGUGUGAACUGUUGGGGGGCAAAAGGUCCCCUACAGGGGGAGGGGAUCCCCCUCACCCCCUACCGGGGAGCUGCAUGAAAUCGUGUGAUGAUGACGCCCCCACCAUCACCGUUAUCACCACCACCACACCAUCAGAAGCUAUGGCGUCUAAAGCAAUCACAGUUCCGCGGCCGCAAGUUGUCGUGAACUUCUCCGACUGUUUGGACUUCACUCCUAUU